CAGAUAAAUAGAAGAAGAAGAAAAAAGACUCAAAGAGGAAUUUUAAAGUCUCUCGUUAAAGCUGAUGUCAAGUUUCCAGCCACCAGGGGCAAGAAUAAACGACCUUUUCUCUCCACGAGGCCCCUGCGGCUGGAGAACCUGGGCUACUUCUCCACUGGCUGCCUUCUGAGAGAGCCCAAGGAACGGAAAGACCUGCGAAGGCCUGGUCCCCGAGGCCACACAGCUGCUCUCCCACUGCAUUUCCCCACGUCCGGCUGACAUAGGUCCCAGAUGGCUCAGCUCCGAGGGGAGGAGAAAUGGAUUCCACUUGUCAGCACAGAAGGGCCUGUGCGGGGGAGGCCCCGAUGGGCCAUCUUUGGAAACAAGUGACCACAGCCCGUUUCAGAAGCCAGUGUGAUAACUGAACACUCAUCUUCUAACACAGGCAAGCAGCUGAGAUGGUGAAGUGGAACCUGAGGCAUCACUGGAACAGAGGGAUGUAACGUUUGACCCUAAUUUAUUGGCUGUCUACAGUCCAUCUCGGGGAGCUGGCCCGUGUGCUCAGGCCGCUCCCAGUGGGACAAGAGAGAGUCGGAUGGAAAGAGAGUUUC